rnacentral:lncRNA from 1 species
AGUGAAUUCCCUCGGUAUGAUAAUUUGUUCAUCAGUUUGUUCCCCGUUUCUUCUCUAGCCUGAGCCUGACACACUAUUCUAGCUAGACAUGGGUGUGGCUCGUAACACCUGAUGACCAAACGGAUCUACGACACCAUCGAAUCUCAAACUUUAACUACCAAAACUAUUGUUUUUCAUCCUCUAGUCCCUUUUAGAAUUACUAAACGUCCUUUUUUGGGCCGAGAUUUCCAGGAACGCUUUCUCGGGGUUUGUGUGCAUGUAUUUCAAACCAUACAGACCUAAAAAUUAGAAGUCAUUCCAUCUUUAUUCCCGUAGAGCCUUCCAGCAGUUCCUAAACCGCUCCAGUCGGAGCAUGUUAUCAUUCUUGUUUGUUCUGAGUGAAUUCCCUCGGUAUGAUAAUUCUAUCAUCAGUUUGUUCCCCGUUUCUUCUCUAGCCUGAGCCUGGCAAACUAUUCUAGCUAGACAUGGGUGUGGCUCGUAACACCUGAUGACCAAACGGAUCUACGACACCAUCGAAUCUCAAACUUUAACUACCAAAACUAUUGUUUUUCAUUCUAUAGUCCCUUCUAGAAUUUCUAAACGUCCUUUUUUGGGCCGAGAUUUCCAGGAAUGCUUUCUCGGGGUUUGUGUGCAAGUAUUUCAAAUCAUACGGACCUAAAAAUUAGAAGUCAUUCCAUCUUUAUUCCCCUAGAGCCUUCCAGUAGUUCCUAAACCGCUCCAGUCGGAGCACGUUAUCAUUCUUGUUAGUUCAUAGUGAAUUCCCUCGGUAUGAUAAUUCUUUCAUCAGUUUGUUCCCCGUUUCUUCUCUAGCCUGAGCCUGGCACAGUAUUCUAGCUAGACAUGGGUGUGGUCGUAACACCUGAUGACUAAAUGGAUCGACGGCACCAUCGAAUCUCAAACUUUAACUGCCAAAACUAUUGUUUUUCAUCCUGUAAUCCCAUUUAGAAUUACUAAACGUCCUUUUUUGGGCCGAGAUUUAGAGGAACGCUUUGUUGGGGUUUGUGUGCAAGUAUUUCAAACCAUACGGACCUAAAAAUUAGAACUCAUUCCAUAUUUAUUCCCCUUGAGCCUUCCAGCAGUUCCUAAACCGCUCUAGUCGGAGCACGUUAUCAUUCUUGUUAGUUCUAAGAGAAUUCCCUCGGUAUGAUAAUUCUUUUAUCAGUUUGUUCCCCGUUUCUUCUCUAGACUGGGCCCGACACACUAUUCUAGCUAGACAUGGGUGUGGCUCGUAACACCUGAUGACCAAACGGAUCUACGGCACCAUCGAAUCUCAAACUUCAACUGCCAAAACUAUUGUUUUUCAUCCUGUAGUCCCUUUUAGAAUUACUAAACGUCCUUUUUUGGGCCGAGAUUUCCAGGAACGCUUUCUCGGGGUUUGUGUGCAAGUAUUUCAAACCAUACGGACCUAAAAAUUAGAAGUCAUUCCAUCUUUAUUCCCGUAGAGCCAUCCAGCAGUUCCUAAACCGCUCCAGUCGGAGCACGUUAUCAUUCUUGUUAGUUCUGAGUGAAUUCCCUCGGUAUGAUAAUUCUUUCAUCAGUUUGUUCCCCGUUUCUUCUCUAGCCUGAGCCUGACAAACUAUUAUAGCUAGACAUGGGUGUGGCUCGUAACACCUGAUGACCAAACGGAUCUAUGGCACCAUCGAAUCUCAAACUUUAACUGCCAAAACUAUUGUUUUUCAUCCUGUAGUCCCUUUUAGAAUUACUAAACGCCCUUCUUUGGGACGAGAUUUCCAGGAACGCUUUCUCGGGGUUUGUGUGAAAGUAAUUCAAACCAUACGGACCUAAAAAUUAGAAGUCAUUCCAUCUUUAUUCCCGUGGAGCCUUCCAGUAGUUCCUAAACCGCUCCAGUCGGAGCACGUUAUCAUUCUUGUUAGUUCUGAGUGAAUUCCCUCGGUAUGAUAAUUCUUUCAUCAGUUUGUUCCCUGUUUCUUCUCUAGCCUGAGCCUGGCACACUAUUCUAGCUAGACAUGGGUGUGGCUCGUAACACCUGAUGACUAAACUGAUCAAUGACACCAUCGAAUCUCAAACUUUAACUGCCAAAACUAUUGUUUUUCAUCCUGUAGUCCCAUUUAGAAUUACUAAACGUCCUUUUUUGGGCCGAGAUUUCCAGGAACGCUUACUCGGGGUUUGUGUGCAAGUAUUUCAAACCAUACUGACCUAAAAAUUAGAAGUCAAUCCAUCUUUAUUCCCCUAGAGCCUUCCAGCAGUUCCUAAACCGCUCCAGUCGGAGCACGUUAUCAUUCUUGUUAGUUCUGAGUGAAUUCCCUCGGUAUGAUAAUUCUUUCAUCAGUUUGUUCCUUGUUUCUUCUCUAGCCUGAACCUGACACACUAUUCUAGCUAGACAUGGGUGUGGCUCGUAACACCUGAUGACCAAACGGAUCUACGGCACCAUCGAAUCUCAAACUUUAACUGCCAAAACUAUUAUUUUUAAUCCUCUAGUCCCAUUUAGAAUUACUAAACGUCCUUUUUUGGGCCGAGAUUUAGAGGAACGCUUUCAUGCGGUUUGUGUGCAAGUAUUUCAAACCAUACGGACCUAAAAAUUAGAAGUCAUUCCAUCUUUAUUCCCCUAGAGCCUUCCAGCAGUUCCUAAACCGCUCCAGUCGGAGCAUGUUAUCAUUCUUGUUAGUUCUGAGUGAAUUCCCUCGGUAUGAUAAUUCUUUCAUCAGUUUGUGGCCCGUUUCUUCUCUAGCCUGAGCCUGACACACUAUUCUAGCUAGACGUGGGUGUGGCUCGUAACACCUGAUGACCAAACGGAUCUACGGCACCAUCGAAUCUCAAACUUUAAGUGCCAAAACUAUUAUUUUUAAUCCUGUAGUCCCAUUUAGAAUUACAAAAAUGUCCUUUUUUGGGCUGAGAUUUCCAGGAACGCUUUCGUGCGGUUUGUGUGCAAGUAUUUCAAACCAUACAGACCAAAAAAUUAGAAGUCAUUCCAUCUUUAUUCC